rnacentral:rRNA from 1 species
UCGAACGAGGACGGGAGCUUGCUCCCGAUCCGAGUGGCGGACGGGUGAGUAACACGUGACCAACCUGUCCCAGGGUGAGGGACAACCUGGGGAAACCCGGGCUAAUACCGCAUGAUGUCUCGUGGUCGCAUGACUGUGAGAUCAAAGAGAGCCUCUGCUUGCAAGCUCUCGCCCAGGGAGGGGGUCGCGGCGUAUCAGCUAGUUGGUAGGGUAAUGGCCUACCAAGGCUACGACGCGUAGCGGGUCUGAGAGGACGACCCGCCUCAUUGGGACUGAGAUACGGCCCAGACUCCUACGGGAGGCAGCAGUGGGGAAUAUUGCGCAAUGGACGAAAGUCUGACGCAGCGACGCCGUGUGUGGGAGGAAGCUCUUCGGGGUGUAAACCACUGUCAGAGGGGAAGAAAGGCGCCGGCCUGAAAGGUCCGGCGAUUGACGGUACCCUCAAAGGAAGCGCCGGCUAACUCCGUGCCAGCAGCCGCGGUAAGACGGAGGGCGCAAGCGUUGUUCGGAAUUACUGGGCGUAAAGCGCGGGCAGGUGGUCUGUUAAGUCGUUUGUGAAAAUCCGGGGCUCAACCCCGCGAAAUGCAUACGAUACUGGCAGACUAGAGACUGGUAGAGGCUAGCGGAAUUCCUGGUGUAGCGGUGGAAUGCGUAGAUAUCAGGAAGAACACCUGUGGCGAAGGCGGCUAGCUGGGCCAGA